UACAGAGGGUGCAAGCGUUACUUGGAAUUACUGGGCGUAAAGCGCGCGUAGGUGGAUUGUUAAGUUGGAUGUGAAAGCCCCGGGCUCAACCUGGGAACUGCAUCCAAAACUGGCAAGCUAGAGUACGGUAGAGGGUGGUGGAAUUUCCUGUGUGGCGGUGAAAUGCGUAGAUAUAGGAAGGAACACCAGUGGCGAAGGCGACCACCGGGACUGAUACUGACAGUGAGGUGCGAAAGCGCGGGGAGCAGACAGG
rnacentral:misc_RNA from 1 species